rnacentral:rRNA from 1 species
UACGUAGGUGGCAAGCGUUGUCCGGAUUUACUGGGCGUAAAGGGCGUGCAGGCGGUUUGUUAAGUCUAGGGUGAAAGCUCCCGGCUCAACUGGGAGAGGUCCUUGGAUACUGGCGAACUUGAGGGAUGCAGAGGAAAGUGGAAUUCCCGGUGUAGUGGUGAUAUGCGUAGAUAUCGGGAGGAACACCAGUGGCGAAGGCGGCUUUCUGGGCAUUUCCUGACGCUGAGACGCGAAAGCGUGGGGAGCGAACGGG